AGAAGGGCAACGAAGCUGGUGAAGGGCCUGGAACACAAGUCCUGUGUGAAACAAGUAUCGGAGCCUCAGAAAUGCCGAGGUCAGAUGGGAGCUCCAGAGGAGACCACAAACUCCAAACUCCUGCUUGGAGCUGAAUAUCUCCAAGGGUAUGAAUAUCUCCAAGCACAGAAAGUCCACAACCUGUCUGAGCAGCCUUAUGCCAGUGAUUGACCACCCUCCCAGUAUAAAUAUUUAAUUUUUUUAAAAAAAGAUAAAAUUGUUACAAAUGUUGAAAUACCUAUGGCAUAAGGGUGGUGUUACAGUUUGAUUUCACAUUUCCAAAUGCUGUAGAUGCAUGUUUUCAAUGUAUUAUUUAUU